CGCAGGGAUUAUAGCGUGUACUCAGCAUCCUUGGUGCACCGAGCAUCCUAAAAAUAAACUCUUCGUGAAAUCUGCCUUGAUUAUUCUUUUUUGGGGGGAUAAAACACAUUUUAUUACCGAGGACUGAUUUAUUGUUUCCGUUGAGGAGGGGCUGUUGUUGUUGCGGACUGUCGCUGCAGCAGGACACCCACCGUCUGUGGAAGUGGGACAGCGGAACAGAUGGCGUAUCCAAGCCGGUCCGCAGGGCUUUGUCCAGCACAAGAGACAAGGUGCCAUCAUUAACAUAGUUCGCUUUUACAGCUUGUUUUAUUUUUGUGCGACUCUCUCCUCCAUCAUACACAAUCAGCCAUGUUGGAGUGACUGGAUGCAACUGGAGGACCGAAACGCGUCCGUGUACCGCCUGAGCCGAGACCAACCCCCCGCCGACUUAAUCCCCUUUAAGUCCGUCUGGGUGAACAAUGGUCGACAACCGCUACGCCACUGCUCUGGUCAUCGCCUGCGUGCUGAGCAUCCUGGCCACCGUGUAUCUGUCGGUGGCCAUCGGCACGCAGCACUGGUACCAGUACAGCAGCCCCACCGUGCGCGGCGAGGCCAACGUGUCCGAGCUGCGCUCCCUCUACGACGAGUUCAUGACCGGGGAGUUCGACGAGAAGACCUACAGCGACACGCUGUUCCGCCUCAACGGGACCGUGGGGCUGUGGUGGCGGUGCGUGCUCGUCCCACCCUCUGCCCACUGGAACAGGGAGCCAGAUGCAAAGAUCUUGCUGGAGUGUCGAAACUUCACUCUGCCGGAGCAGUUCACCCCUAAAUACAAAGAGCCAGGGAACCACAACAGUGGAGAGGACAUGCUCCGCACCUAUUUGUGGAGGUGCCAAUUUCUGCUCCCACUGGCGUCUCUCGGUCUGGUUGUGCUGGCGGGCCUGAUUGGGUUUUGCGCCUGCCUUUGCAGAAGUCUCACUCCCACGUUGGGCAUCGGAGUUCUUCAUCUCUUGGCUGGUCUGUGCACCCUGGCCACAGUGUGCUGCUACCUGGCUGGGAUGGACCUGCUCCACAGGGUGUCGAUGCUUCCUGACAAGGUGGAUGGCUCCCUGGGUUGGUCCCUGUACCUGGCCCUCAUCUCCUCGCCCCUGCACAUGAUGGCUGCCGCGCUGCUGGUGUGGGCAGCGCGCAGUCACAGUCAGAACUACUACCGCAUGACUGCCUACCGGGUGGCGUGAAUAUGUGGUUUCUAUCCCAUCUUAUGUUUUAAAAUCUAGAGUAAAAACCCUAAGGUAUGCUGCAUUCAUUUCAUUUUAAUUUAUUUUUUCUCUAGGGCUGCUGAUGUGAAAAGAUAAGUCGAGUGUAGCAUAAUGUCCAGGUCAGAAACACUGAAAAUUAGCUGAUUUUUAAUUUUUUUUUAAUUUAGAUUUGUUGGUAAAAUCUCAAAAUCAGCAAUAUUAAAAAAAAUACCUGCCUGGAUCUCUGGUUAAGCUUUAAUAUAAUUUACUUCUAUAAGGGUAAAAACAAGGUUUCCUCAAUGCUUUUAAAAGUGACACCUUUUCUUUUAUGUCUUCUGAAAACGAUAACACAAACUCCACAAGUGUAGUUCACUGGGUUGUUACAGUCAGCUGAAGCAAAGCAAGGUGGAGGUUUGUUAUCCUGUGGUUUGGCUUUGUGUGUCAUUGGCACUGCAUCACUUAAUCUGCUGAAAAAAUAAUGAAGAUUAAAGACAUGUUAGACCCAACUGCACCAACCAGUGUCACGCGAAGCAAUGCCCUGGGAGGAAGUUUCUGAGCCAAACGCUCCCCAAACAAAGGCACGAAAUGAAAAGGUUUUUUUUAAAUUUGACAAAGUUGACAGUCCUGACCUAAAUAUGCAUAGAAUCUCUUAUUAAACGAUCCAUGUCACUACAAGAGAUAAAAAAAACCGUCCUCAUAGUGGAAGAGUGCCAAAAAUCAGGACACGGAUGCCAGGUGUUUUUGGCAGGUUGUUCUUGUUGAGGACGUUUAUGAAGUUAGACAGCAGUGCCCUGACUUCAGUCUUGCGCUGCAGAAUUGGAUUAUUUCGGUUGUUGCUUUUGAUCUUCAAGUCAAUUUAUUUAUAUUGCACCAAUUUACAACAAUUAUCAUCUGAAAGCCCUUUACAAAAAUGCAGAUCUAACCUCUAUGCAAAAAUUGUAGUUAUAAUGGGUUGCAAUCGGGUUCGGUUCAUAACGCCAAUUGGCAAAAUGUUAAGAAAUCAUAAUUGAUUGCUUCAAGUCACUGACCUUGCAGCAAUCCCUCAUAUUGAGCAAGAAUCUUGCUGAAGUGGAAAAGAACAGACAGCCCCAACCACUAGCAGUAGCAAAGGAAAGCCAUUAUGUGGCUUAAAUUACAAAGUGAAAAUUCAUCUGCCUGUUUCAGUUUGACGCAUUCAUUUGGUUGAGAUACAGAGGAUUCAACCUUCAUGCGGCCUCUUUCAAGUUGGUUCUUAAGUAUUUUGUAAGACAGCUGCUUCCUUCCUUGUGAUUUUUUCACGCUGUUGAGUGAGCAGUGCAUGCACACCGCACGCCUCUGACGAUCCUCAUCUGAUAAGGAGCGGAGCAGAAUGCUGCCUGUUCACUUCUCAGAGCCAAGUGGUGUUAACGAUUUCAGGAAAAAAAACCACAGACGUCACUUAAGACCCAGUCAUCAAUCUAAGCAAGUGUGCUUUAAAUUGCUUUGAGCUUCUUCUUUUAAUUUAUUUGUAUAAAUAUUGUACAUAUCAAACAGAAUAAGGAAGGAACAGUUUUGGUCAGAAGUCUACGUACAGUACACUCCUUGGCAUGAAUGUCAUUUUGGGAUUUACCGAUUAAUUUAACAGUUUUUCUUGUUACCAGGUCGGAAUGAUUAUACAACAAAGAAUGUCAAUAAGUAAAAACAAGAAUUGGAAGCUCAGGUUUUAAAUUGUUGUGAAUCUUUCUCUAAUCCACACAUGGAAAAAAGUACACUUACACUAUGAAACCCUGUAAUAUUUGGUAAAAGGCCAUCUGGCAGAUUGACCUUUAACCUUACACUUUUUGUAGUCAUCACCUCCGCCGUAUUCCAAGCUUCUCGGCAUAGCGCACAAAUUUUCUGUCAGGUUGAUGUUGGGGCUUUAGCCAGGCCAUCUAUUUAGGAAAUCUGUGAGUUAUGCUUAAAAGCAGCAUUGAAUCUUUCGAAAGGAGCGGCCAAACAUCCCGGUAGAGUCAUGGUAGAAACUUGUUGAAGGCUGCACAAAGCUUGUGGUUGAUGUUCAGCUAUCGAAGCAACAUAUAAGCAAAUUAAUGUUGUUUUUUUUAACGCAAUUUUUAAAAUGUAGUAAAGGCAAUACAGUUCAAUCUUUCCAAUAUUAAUAAGUCUUCUGGCUAUAACGACGUCUUUAAAAUCUGAUUCAAAACAGAUUUUAUGUACAUCAGUACAUAAUGUUUUACCGGUAUGUUCUUAAAGAAAACAAAAGCAAAAGGUAAUGAACUUUGAAGCAUAUUUCCAUAAUUUCUGCUAUGUCACAAUUGCUCCUAUUAUCUUAUUCAAAGUUACAGUGAAGAAUUUCAGUUCAGUGGUUGUCUCAGAGUUAUGAGACCACACCUGUGUGACAGGCACACCUUAAGUACUGAAUGUUUCAAGCAAAACACAAAAGCAUUCAGUCAAUCAUCUUCAGAGGCUUUGACGCAGAAUGCUUUGUCACUGAGAAGUGAAAGAUUAUUACCGCAUCCAUGUUAGUCCUGACAAAAUGUCCACAUUGAUGCUUUUUUUUUCUUUUUGCUAUUUAACUUGAUUUAUUUAUUCUUUAUAUAUAUACAAAGUAUGUUGUUUUGUUACUUUUCAUGCAUAUUUGAUCUGAUUUUGUAGAGGAAAACAUUUAAUUUGUGUCAUUUAGUGACGCAAUACCUUCUGUUUUGUCCAUCCUGAUAUUUUUGUGUUUUGUUUCCUGCUUUGUGUUUGAUGUUUCUUUGAUUGCUAAAAAUCCCUGUUGUGAAAGUAAGUCAUCAGAAAUAAGGGAGAGUAUGCCUGCCCCUUAUAAAUUAUGAAUGUACUUUAAGGCCAUAUGUGGACGAACUGCUGAAUUUGUUCUGCAAGUUUACAUUACUUUAAUCAUAUCCUGAAUAUUGAUGUAAUUUUACAUUGAUAGAUAAAUAUAUAUACAGAACAGACCAAAAGUUUGGACACACUUUUUUUUAUUUUUUUUAUUUAAGUCAAUUAAAUAAUUGACUUAAAUAAACACCACAAAUGUUUGGUGUGUCCAAACUUUUGGUCUGUACUGUAUAUGUAUAUAUAUUUAUUUGGAGGAAAUAAACACACUUGCUGGAUGGUAACAGAUGAGCAUCAUUUUCCAAAGUGUCAUGACAUUUCUGAAUGGUUUCACAAACGUUCUGCUGAGUUGGAUUGUAUUUUACUCAUCCAAACAUCAAACACAAACGGCUCUUCUAUCCCUGAAUGCACUGUUGAAACAUGAUGUUUGUGAACCUAAAGUGAAACUGUUGCUAUGUGUGUAAAUACGUGUGCGUAUGUGCAAGGCUUGUACGUGUUGUCAUUUCAAUAAAUAAAAAAAACGUUGAUAAAAAUCA